CAGCAGCCGCGGGAAUACGAAGGGGGCUAGCGUUGUUCGGAAUUACUGGGCGUAAAGGGCGCGUAGGCGGCCAUUCAAGUUAGAUGUGAAAGCCCUGGGCUCAACCUAGGAAUUGCAUUUGAUACUGUUUGGCUUGAGUUCGGGAGAGGUGAGUGGAAUUCCCAGUGUAGAGGUGAAAUUCGUAGAUAUUGGGAAGAACACCAGUGGCGAAGGCGGCUCACUGGACCGACACUGACGCUGAGGCGCGAAAGCGUGGGGAGCAAACAGGAUUAGAUACCCCAGUAGUCCCUGUCUCUUAUAA
rnacentral:rRNA from 1 species